AAUCCUGGCUCAGGAUGAACGCUAGCUACAGGCUUAACACAUGCAAGUCGAGGGGCAGCGGGAUUGAAGCUUGCUUCAAUUGCCGGCGACCGGCGCACGGGUGAGUAACGCGUAUCCAACCUUCCGUACACUCAGGGAUAGCCUUUCGAAAGAAAGAUUAAUACCUGAUGGUAUGAUGAGAUUGCAUGGUAUCAUCAUUAAAGAUUUAUCGGUGUACGAUGGGGAUGCGUUCCAUUAGG
rnacentral:rRNA from 1 species